rnacentral:lncRNA from 1 species
CGCUACGGGACUCAACGGACGUACCGAGGGAACGCCCACGACUGGUCCUGCUCCUCAGGCCGGACGCGCCUCGCUUCGGCUCGGCCAAGCCCAAGGUUCCCACUGGCCCGGACCUUUGGUCCUGCCUUGCAACGGCUUCUGUUUUUUGUGGACUCUAUACUGAUUUCCAUAAUGGUUGACUAGUUCAUGUUCCCACCAACAAGGAGAUAGUAGAAGGACUCUCCCACCCGGCCUCACCAGCAUUUGGAGGAAAGAUGCCAAGUUCCGAGCACCCCUAUGGAGAAACUGCUUCCUAUGGUAGCUAAAUAAAUAAGCAGAGAUGGAGUCUCCACCUUCAUCCCACUCCCAGCUGACCUCUUGAUUGCAACUUCAUGAGAGGUCCUGAAUGAGAACCAUCCAGGGAUGGGACUUGGGACCUUUCACUUGGGAACCAGGCAGCAGAACCACAGAACUAAAUCCCUGGCCCUCACAUGUUACUAAUUUUUGCAUGUUGAUCUCAUGAACACACUCUUUGCUGAAUCCUCUAUUUUUUGUUUUAUUUUGUUUUAUUUUGUUUUGUUUUGUUUUUUUGUACCAGGGAUUGAACUCAGGACCUUGAGCUUUCGAGCCAAGCACAGCGCCACUGAGCUAAAUCCCUGGCUCUCCUCUGUGUUUUUAGUAAUUAUUUUUUCUGUGGACUUUUUUGUGUGGGGGGGUAUAAUAUUAAUUAAG